GAGAAAUCUGAAGAAACCCCAACAACCAAUGGUAGACAGAGAAGAUAUUCACUGCAGAACUAUAUCCUAUGAUAGCUGGGGUAACCCAUCUUUCUCUGAACCGCAUCAACAGGUAAGACAGUUAAUUACCAGUUGUUUGAAUGGUUGAUCACGAGUUGUUUGCAGAGUAAUAUUUUGUUCUGGUAUUUCUUAUUUAAUAUGAUUUCUUUAAAUUCAUGGAUCUUUUAUUUCUAGCUCUUAUUGCAAAUUAUUUUAUUUCUUGUUUGACUGCAACUCCUAUUGACAACUAAAACUUUCUAAGUAUUGUCAUAACUUACUUGCAAUAUUUAAUCUUAUUUCAAUUUUAUGUAUUUCUAUUUCGAAAUAUUGAGGACACUAUGAUGCAGAAUUUAUGUGUGUGCAUAUAGAUAUGGAGGACAGGUGGAUGUUUCUCUACGCAUAUAUAUUUUUGGAAUUCCCUUAACAUUAUGAUGAUACAUUGAAUCUAUAUAUUUGUAUUUAGAUAUUUGUUCCAAGAGAAGAAAGUAUGUCUCCUGGUUACAGAGAACUAAACAGUUCUGACCAAUUCAGUGAGAUGUCAACAUUGUCAUCUCGCACUGAUAGGGGUCAUGGAUGGAGUGUCGGCAGUGCUGGACACUAUGAGGAACUGCCAG
rnacentral:lncRNA from 1 species